GACGAACGCUGGCGGCGUGCUUAACACAUGCAAGUCGAACGGGCCCGCCCCUGUUUUUGGGGGUGGGUUGAGUGGCGAACGGGUGAGUAUCACGUGAGUAACCUGCCCCCUGCUCCUGGAUAACUGCUUGAAAGGGCGGCUAAUACGGGGUGUGCCGGCUGGUCCGCAUGGGCCUGGUCGGGAUAGUUUCAUCUUCGGGUGUUUCGGUGGGGGAUGGGCUCGCGGCCUAUCAGCUUGUUGGUGGGGUGAUGGCCCACCAAGGCGGUGACGGGUAGCCGGCCUGAGAGGGUGGGCGGCCACACUGGGACUGAGACACGGCCCAGACUCCUGCGGGAGGCAGCAGUGGGGGGUAUUGCGCAAUGGGCGGAAGCCUGAUGCAGCGACGUCGCGUGAGGGAUGGAGGCCUUCGGGUUGCGAACCUCUUUCUCCGGUGGUGAAGGCCCUGUCCGUUGCGGCGGGGUUGACGGUAGCCGGGUAUGAAGCGCCGGCUAACUACGUG
rnacentral:rRNA from 1 species